rnacentral:rRNA from 1 species
GACAGAGGGUGCAAACGUUGUUCGGAAUUACUGGGCGUAAAGCGAGUGUAGGCGGCCCGGCAAGUCGGGUGUGAAAGCCCUGGGCUCAACCCAGGAAGUGCACUCGAAACUGCCGGGCUAGAGUAUCGGAGAGGUUGGUGGAAUUCUCGGUGUAGAGGUGAAAUUCGUAGAUAUCGAGAGGAACACCGGUGGCGAAGGCGGCAUCCUGGACCGGCAUUGACGCUGAGGCGCGAAAGCUAGGGGAGCAAACGGG